rnacentral:rRNA from 1 species
ACACGUAGGAGGCUAACGUUAUCCGGAUUUACUGGGCGUAAAGCGCGUGCAGGCUGUUCAAUAAGUUAGGCGUGAAAGCUCCCGGCUCAACUGGGAGAGGUCGUUUAAUACUGUUGGACUAGAGGAUGGUAGAGGGAGGUGGAAUUCCGGGUGUAGUGGUGAAAUGCGCAGAUAUCCGGAGGAACACCAGUGGCGAAAGCGGCCUCCUGGACCAUUCCUGACGCUCAGACGCGAAAGCUAGGGUAGCGAACGGGAUUAGAGACCCCGGUAGUCCUAGCUGUAAACGAUGUGAACUUGGCGUCGGUGGGAUUAAAUCCAUCGGUGUCGAAGCUAACGCGAUAAGUUCACCGCCUGAGGACUACGGCCGCAAGGUUAAA